CCUACGGGUGGCAGCAGUGAGGAAUAUUGGUCAAUGGUCGUGAGCCUGAACCAGCCAAGUAGCGUGCAGGAUGACUGCCCUACGGGUUGUAAACUUCUUUUAUACAGGAAUAAAGUGCGGCACGUGUGCCUUUUUGUAGGUACUUUAUGAAUAAGGAUCGGCUAACUCCGUGCCAGCAGCCGCGGUAAUACGGAGGGUCCGGGCGUUAUCCGGAUUUAUUGGGUUUAAAGGGAGCGUAGGUGGGUAGUUAAGUCAGUUGUGAAAGUCUGCGGCUCAACCGUAAAAUUGCAAUGGAUACUGGCAGCCUUGAGUACAGUUGAGGUAGGCGGAAUUCGUGGUGUAGCGGUGAAAUGCUUAGAUAUCACGAAGAACUCCGAUUGCGAAGGCAGCCUACUAAACUGCCACUGACAUUGAUGCUCGAAAGUGUGGGUAUCAAACAGGAUUAGAUACCCCUGUAGUC
rnacentral:rRNA from 1 species